rnacentral:rRNA from 1 species
UUGACCUCGAAUCAGGUAGGAAUACCCGCUGAACUUAAGCAUAUCAAUAAGCGGAGGANNNNNNNNNNNNNNNNNNNNNNNNAGUAACGGCGAGUGAAGCGGUAACAGCUCAAAUUUGAAAUCUGGCUCCUCUGGAGUCCGAGUUGUAAUUUGUAGAAGAUGCUUUGGGUUGUGGGUUCGGCCUAAGUUCCUUGGAACAGGACGUCAUAGAGGGUGAGAAUCCCGUAUGUGGCCGAGGCCCGCGCCUAUGUAAAGCUCUUUCAACGAGUCGAGUUGUUUGGGAAUGCAGCUCAAAAUGGGUGGUAAAUUUCAUCUAAAGCUAAAUAUGGGCCAGAGACCGAUAGCGCACAAGUAGAGUGAUCGAAAGAUGAAAAGCACUUUGGAAAGAGAGUUAAACAGUACGUGAAAUUGUUGAAAGGGAAGCGCUUGCACCCAGACUUGGGCGCUGCUGAUCACCUUGCGGUCUCCGCAAGUGCACUCGACAGCGCACAGGCCAGCAUCGGUUCGGGUGGCUGGAUAAAGGCCGUAGGAACGUAGCUCCCUUCGGGGAGUGUUAUAGCCUACGGUGCCAUGCAGCCCAGCCGGACCGAGGACCGCGCCUUCGGGCUAGGAUGCUGGCGUAAUGGGUGUAAGCGACCCGUCUUGAAACACGGACCAAGGAGUCUAACAUCUAUGCGAGUGUUUGGGUGGUAAACCCAUACGCGGAAUGAAAGUGAACGUAGGUGAGAACCCCUUUGGGGCGCAUCAUCGACCGAUCCUGAUGUCUUCGGAUGGAUUUGAGUAAGAGCAUAGC